GAUGAACGCUGGCGGCGUGCCUAAUACAUGCAAGUCGAGCGAACAGACGAGGAGCUUGCUCCUCUGACGUUAGCGGCGGACGGGGGAGUAACACGUGGAUAACCUACCUAUAAGACUGGGAUAAAUUAGGGAAACGGGGGCUAAUACCGGAUAAUAUAUUGAACCGCAUGGUUCAAUAGAGGAAGAAGGUUUUGAUGUCACUUAUAGAUGGAUCAGCGCAGCAUUAGCUAGUUGGUAAGGUAACGGCUUACCAAGGCGACGAUGCGUAGCCGAGCUGAGAGGGUGAUCGGCCACACUGGAACUGAGACACGGUCCAGACUCCUACGGGAGGCAGCAGUAGGGAAUCUUCCGCAAUGGGCGAAAGCCUGACGGAGCAACGCCGCGUGAGUGAUGAAGGUCUUCGGAUCGUAAAACUCUGUUAUUAGGGAAGAACAAAUGUGUAAGUAACUAUGCACGUCUUGACGGUACCUAAUCAGAAAGCCACGGCUAACUACGUG
rnacentral:rRNA from 1 species